rnacentral:rRNA from 1 species
UCGGCUAGCACGCGCUCGACGGUGAGGGACGAAAGCUGGGGGAGCGAACCGGAUUAGAUACCCGGGUAGUCUCAGCUGUAAACGAUGCUGGCUAGGUGUUGAAGCGGCUACGAGCCGCUUCAGUGCCGCAGGGAAGCCAUUAAGCCAGCCGCCUGGGGAGUACGGCCGCAAGGCUGAAACUUAAAGGAAUUGGCGGGGGAGCACCACAAGGGGUGAAGCUUGCGGUUUAAUUGGAGUCAACGCCGGGAACCUUACCGGGCGCGACAGCAGGAUGAAAGCCAGAUUGAAGGUCUUGCUGGACGAGCUGAGAGGAGGUGCAUGGCCGUCGCCAGUUCGUGCCGUGAGGUGUCCUGUUAAGUCAGGCAACGAUCGAGACCCACACCCUCUGUUGCUACUGAGGAGUUUUCCAAGGGGCACUCUGAGGGGACUGCCGCCGAUAAGGUGGAGGAAGGAGUGGGCCACGGCAGGUCAGUAUGCCCCGAAUCGCCCGGGCCACACGCGAGCUGCAAUGGCUGGGACAGUGGGUUCCGACCCUGAAAAGGGGAGGUAAUCCCGAAACCCGGCCUCAGUUGGGAUCGAGGGCUGUAACCCGUCCUCGUGAACAUGGAAUCCCUAGUAAUCGCGCGUCAUCAGCGCGCGGUGAAUACGUCCCUGCUCCUUGCACACACCGA